UCGACUGACAGCUGGGAAAUCCAUGGAUGGGAGACUUUAAAUGUGGAGCCUUGAAGGAUCAUUGGCUGAGGAUUAUUGCAGACUUGAAGCUGAUUGGUUGGCGUGGAGACGCACGGAGAAGCCAUUGGGUGAAGCUGGAGGAGGGGUGCUGCGCUGUGAUUGGCUGAGCUCUGUUUUGACUGAGAUGUCUCCAGAGUGACAGAUUGAUGUGAUGCAGCUACUGUGAUACACUUCCGAUGUAAUCUCCUAAGUGUUGGGACCACAGCCAUGGAUACAACAUGAUGGGCCAGUAUGAGCUUUUCUGGAACUUUCAAAAUAAAUCGCAUUAACCUACUUCCAGCACAGCCAGAAACGGGGUAACAGCAGAC